UAGCAUCAGUAAAAUCGAAAUAUAUAUUCUCAGUUACAAAAACGAAGUGGGCUUUUGUGUCCCUUACCUAAUGGGAGCGGCAAAUUGCACAAAAUCGUAAAAAUUGACUCCUAAAAUCUGAAAACGUUAGCAGGAGAGGAAAUAGGGUUUCGCAACAUUUUCUAAUCUAACCUAAUUAAAGACGCUAGGCAUAAUGAAAGAGAUGAACGCCGAGCAAGACUUCACUGGAGAAGCGUCAACCAGUCACCACCAAAAGAGGCAACGAAGACUUCCCUCCACUGUUGAAGAAGAAGAAAAAGUAGGCGAUGUAACGGAGGCACGAUCGCGGACUAUGUUUGAUUUGGAUCUUCUGGACUGUCCCGUUUGCUUCCAUGCACUGACAAAUCCUAUCUUUCAGGCUGAAGCAGCUCCUACUGCGAUUGAAGCCACGAACCCUUUGAAUGAAGGUCAGAGAGAGCUUUCGGAUGAGUUCAAUACCAAACUGAAUCUAGAUAAUCAGAAUGAAGCAUCUGAUGAAAAGAUGCACAUGGACGCAGAUUAUUCUUCUUCCUCAGAUGAUUCUGAUUCUGAUGCUGAGGAAGAGGAGGAGCUCGUGAUUGUUAGUCCACAGCCACCAAGAUCUACUACUACCGGAGGAUCAAGAACACUUUUUGCUGGCAAUCUUGCGCGCCAAGUUUUUUUUUUUUGUCACAGACAUAACUUAUAUUAUAAAGCUCAAAGAGCAACAAAGUUAACAACUGAAGCAGAAAAUUCUAGAGCCCGGCUCGACGGUAGAGUGAGGCUAGAAAACAAUGCAAAACAACUAAAGAUAAAACCAUCUUGGGGCGAGUCAAGCUCAGCGAAAUGAAGAGACCCGUAGAGAAGCUUCAAUUUUGUUCCCAUGGCGACUGUUCUCGCGAACAAUUGAUAGUCGAAAUCGACGUUGAUACACCUGAUUGAGAUGUUGACUGGCAAGAGCUUUCGGUGAGGAGCUCCAGAACCGUAUGCAACAUCAAGAGAACUAAGUCCUAGAUGACUUGAUUUGGCACUGAAGUUGGCACGAUCAAAUUUAAACUCAACAAAGCUUCUCAAUGAGACUAGGUGAAUCUCAAAAGCUAACUUAGCCUUCAUAAGGACGCUUAGGACAAUGGAGUUGGAUGACAAACAUAAUGGUUUAGUCGGGUCAAAACCUAGUACCGCAACAUUACCGUGUCGAAGCCAAUAGUUUGUAACCGAGAUAGACCAGCGCAUAAUAUCAUCACACUCGUUCUGGAUGAGCGUAAUUAAGCAAACGUCAGGUACGAGGCAAAGCAUUUCAGUACGGUCGAGUCUCCUUGCACUAGCCUUCGGAGUGUUACUCUGACUUGCGCGCCAAGUUAAAAAAUCAGAUAUCGAGGAGUUCUUCCAAGAAGCUGGCGAAGUUGUUGAUGUUAAAUUUGCUAUGGGACCUGAUGGCAGUUUCAGGGGAUUUAUCCAUAUUUUGUUUUCUUCUCCUGAAGAAGCACAGAAUGCGCUGGGAUUUCAGGGUAGAACUUUGCUCGGUCGUCCAAUUCGGCUUGACAUGGCUCUCUCGAAAGUUCACAAAUCAGGUGCUUCGGUGGUAUCUUGAGUGGUGGUGGGGAUGGCAGGAUCUAUCAAGAAUAAAUAUAGAUAAUAACUAAGGAGGGUUACUAGUUACUUUUUAAUCUUUUAGAUCAGGCUAAUUAUGAUUUAACCUAUACUUUUGAGCAUCUCCGUUUUGUUUUUUUUUGUUUAUGUAAGAGAUCAAGGAAGAGUUCUGUAUUUGUGUUAUCAUCAUCUUCUUCUUCUUUUUUUUUG